UACGUAGGGUGCGAGCGUUGUCCGGAAUUACUGGGCGUAAAGCGUGCGCAGGCGGUUGUGCAAGACAGAUGUGAAAUCCCCGGGCUCAACCUGGGAACUGCAUUUGUGACUGCACGGCUGGAGUGCGGCAGAGGGGGAUGGAAUUCCGCGUAGCAGUGAAAUGCGUAGAUAUGCGGAGGAACACCGAUGGCGAAGGCAAUCCCCUGGGCCUGCACUGACGCUCAUGCACGAAAGCGUGGGGAGCAAACAGG
rnacentral:rRNA from 1 species